UUUCUUUCUUUGCUUUUGGAUCGGCAGCACCUUACUUCUCACAAUAGCUUUCAUUUUCUUACAUUGAAAAUCAUAGAUAUCUCUCUCUAAGAAGGAAUCAAACUCUUACUAAAGUUUAACUUCAGUUUGUGGGUGGCGAGAACAAGAAUAUGGACACUUGAUUUUCUCUUGUACAAUUUCUCGCGUCUUCUGUUUUCAGCUCACCCUAUUAUAUUUCAGUGCAUAAAUUCUUCUUGGAAGCAGCAAGAGUAUUAGAGAUGGCAAGGAUUUUGUGAUUUUCGUUUGUUAGAAUGUAGAGUUUUUUUUGUUAUAUAGUAGUUUAGCUCUUUUGUUGUAUAGGAGGAAUCAAGAUGUACUUGAUCCUUGAGCACAA